rnacentral:rRNA from 1 species
AAGUCGAGCGCGGGAAGCAAGCUGAUCCCCUUCGGGGGUGACGCUUGUGGAACGAGCGGCGGACGGGUGAGUAACACGUGGGCAACCUGCCUGUAAGACUGGGAUAACCCCGGGAAACCGGGGCUAAUACCGGAUAACACCGGACUCCACAUGGAGUCGGGUUGAAAGAUGGCUUCUCGCUAUCACUUACAGAUGGGCCCGCGGCGCAUUAGCUAGUUGGUGAGGUAACGGCUCACCAAGGCGACGAUGCGUAGCCGACCUGAGAGGGUGAUCGGCCACACUGGGACUGAGACACGGCCCAGACUCCUACGGGAGGCAGCAGUAGGGAAUCUUCCGCAAUGGACGAAAGUCUGACGGAGCAACGCCGCGUGAACGAUGAAGGUCUUCGGAUCGUAAAGUUCUGUUGUCAGGGAAGAACAAGUGCCGUGCGAAUAGAGCGGCACCUUGACGGUACCUGACGAGGAAGCCCCGGCUAACUACGUGCCAGCAGCCGCGGUAAUACGUAGGGGGCAAGCGUUGUCCGGAAUUAUUGGGCGUAAAGCGCGCGCAGGCGGUUCCUUAAGUCUGAUGUGAAAGCCCACGGCUCAACCGUGGAGGGUCAUUGGAAACUGGGGAACUUGAGUACAGAAGAGGAGAGUGGAAUUCCACGUGUAGCGGUGAAAUGCGCAGAUAUCGAGAGAGACACACACAU